UGGGGAAUUUUGGACAAUGGGCGCAAGCCUGAUCCAGCAAUGCCGCGUGCAGGAUGAAGGCCUUCGGGUUGUAAACUGCUUUUGUACGGAACGAAACGGUCCCUUCUAAUACAAGAGGCUAAUGACGGUACCGUAAGAAUAAGCACCGGCUAACUACGUGCCAGCAGCCGCGGUAAUACGUAGGGUGCGAGCGUUAAUCGGAAUUACUGGGCGUAAAGCGUGCGCAGGCGGUUCUAUAAGACAGAUGUGAAAUCCCCGGGCUUGACCUGGGAACUGCGUUUGUGACUGUAGGACUUGAGUGUGGCAGAGGGGGGUGGAAUUCCGCGUGUAGCAGUGAAAUGCGUAGAUAUGCGGAGGAACACCGAUGGCGAAGGCAAUCCCCUGGACCUGUACUGACGCUCAUGCACGAAAGCGUGGGGAGCAAACAGG
rnacentral:rRNA from 1 species